rnacentral:lncRNA from 1 species
AGGAAUUGGAGCUCCUGGUCCGAGAAUUGAAACCGGAUAUCGUAGGAAUAACUGAAACGUGGUGGAACGGCAGUCACGACUGGAAUACAGGUAUGGAAGGGUAUGCGCUGUUUAGGAACGACCGGAACGAAGGUAAAGGUGGGGGGGUGGCAUUGUAUGUCAAUAAUGAGAUAAGCUGUAAAGAAAUAAUAGUUGAUGGAAUAGAUAAGACAGAGUCCGUCUGGGCAAUACUCACACUGGGUAAAAGAACUACUAGAGCCUCUCCGGGGAUAGUGCUCGGGGUGUGCUAUAGACCGCCGGGAUCAACCCAGGAUAUGGAUAAAGAACUAUUUAAUGUAUUUAGGGAAGUAAAUACUAAUAGGAACUGUGUGAUUAUGGGGGACUUUAACUUCCCGGAAAUAGAUUGGGGAACAAAUGCUAGUAGCAAUAAUAGGGCUCAGAUGUUCCUAGAUGUGCUUGCUGAUCAAUUCCUUCAUCAAGUGGUAGCUGAACCGACGAGGGGGGAGGCCAUUUUGGAUUUGGUUUUGGUGAGUAGUGAGGACCUUGUUGAGGAAGUGGUUGUAGGGAACAACUUGGGCUCCAGUGAUCAUGAGCUAAUUCGGUUUAAACUAAAUGGAAGGAGUAACAGAAUUAAAUCAAAGACUAGGGUUUAUAAUUUUAAAAAGGCUAAUUUUAACAAAUUAAGAGGACUGGUAAGGGAAGUGGAUUGGGCAAACAUAUUAAUGGAUCUAAAGGCAGAAGAAGCCUGGGAUUAUUUUAAGUUAAAGCUGCAUGAGCUGUCGGAGGCCUGUAUCCCGAAAAAGGUAAAAAGGUUAGUGAGCAAGAGAUUUAGACCGAGCUGGAUGAGCGACUGUCUCAAAGGGGCGAUUAGGAAAAAACAGAAAGCGUACAAAGAGUGGAAGAGGGGAGGGAUCAGUAAGGAAACUUACCUUAGUGAGGUCAGAGCAUGUAGAGAUGGAGUGAGAAAGGCCAAAAGCCGUGUGGAGUUGGACCUUGCGAGGGGAAUUAAAAGCAAUAGUAAGAGGUUUUACAGCCAUAUAAAUAGGAAGAAAGCAAAGAAAGAAGAAGUGGGACUGCUGAAGACUAUAGUUGGAGAGGAGAUUAAGGAUAAUCUAGGCAUGGCACAAUAUCUAAAUGAAUAUUUUGCAUCGGUGUUCAAUGAGGCCAAUGAAGGGAUUAGGAAUAUUGGCAGCGUGACAGAGGGGGAUACAGGAGGGGGGAUUACCGUAUCCGAGGUAGAAACCAAACUUGAACACCUUAAUGGGACUAAGUCAGGCGGACCAGAUGAUCUUCAUCCGAGAAUAUUGAAGGAAUUGGCGCGAGAAAUAGCGGGCCCCUUAGCGAAAANNNNNNNNNNNNNNNNNNNNNNNNNNNNN